AGGUGCGAUCAUACUAGCACUAAUGAACCGGAUCCCAUCAGAACUCUGUAGUAAAGCAUGCUUGGGUGAGAGUAGUAUUAAGAUGAGUGACCACCUUGGAAGUCCUGGUGUUGCACCUC
rfam:Lupinus angustifolius cultivar Tanjil contig_40777, whole genome shotgun sequence.